rnacentral:rRNA from 1 species
UACGGAGGGGGCGAGCGUUAUUCGGAAUUAUUGGGCGUAAAGCGCGCGCAGGCGGUUCCUUAAGUCUGAUGUGAAAGCCCACGGCUCAACCGUGGAGGGUCAUUGGAAACUGGGGAACUUGAGUGCAGAAGAGGAGAGUGGAAUUCCACGUGUAGCGGUGAAAUGCGUAGAGAUGUGGAGGAACACCAGUGGCGAAGGCGACUCUCUGGUCUGUAACUGACGCUGAGGCGCGAAAGCGUGGGGAGCGAACAGG